rnacentral:rRNA from 1 species
GACGAACCGUGCGAACGUUGUUCGGAUUCACUGGGCUUAAAGGGCGCGUAGGCGGGCGACCAAGUCCGGGGUGAAAUCUUUCGGCUCAACCGGAAGAGUGCCUUGGAUACUGGUUGCCUCGAGGGAGGUAGGGGCAUGCGGAACUUCCGGUGGAGCGGUGAAAUGCGUAGAUAUCGGGAGGAACACCUAUGGCGAAGGCAGCUCGCUGGGACGUUACUGACGCUGAGACGCGAAAGCGUGGGGAGCAAACAGG